rnacentral:rRNA from 1 species
GGGUCAGUAGGUUGGUCGUGCCACCGGUACGUACUGGUCUCACUGACUCCUCCUUCCUGAAGAACCGUAAUGCCAUUAAUUUGGUGUUGCGGGGAAACAGGACUGUUACUUUGAAAAAAUUAGAGCGUUUAAAGCAAGCUAACGCUUGAAUACAUUAGCAUGGAAUAAUGAAAUAGGACGAUCGAUCCUAUUUUGUUGGUUUCUAGGAUUGACGUA